GACGAACGCUGGCGGCGUGCUUAACACAUGCAAGUCGAACGAUGAACCCGGAGCUUGCUCCGGCGGAUUAGUGGCGAACGGGUGAGUAACACGUGAGUAACCUGCCCUUGACUCUGGGAUAACUGCGGGAAACUGUAGCUAAUACCGGAUACGACCCUCGGCGGCAUCGCCAGGGGGUGGAAAGAAUUUCGGUCAAGGAUGGACCCGCGGCCUAUCAGCUAGUUGGUGAGGUAACGGCUCACCAAGGCGACGACGGGUAGCCGGCCUGAGAGGGUGACCGGCCACACUGGGACUGAGACACGGCCCAGACUCCUACGGGAGGCAGCAGUGGGGAAUAUUGCACAAUGGGCGCAAGCCUGAUGCAGCAACGCCGCGUGAGGGAUGACGGCCUUCGGGUUGUAACCUCUUUUAGUAGGGAAGAAGCGAAAGUGACGGUACCUGCAGAAAAAGCACCGGCUAACUACGUGCCAGCCGCCGCGGUAA
rnacentral:rRNA from 1 species